CUGGCGGCAGCUUACACAUGCAAGUCGAACGGUAGCAGGAGAAAGCUUGCUUUCUUGCUGACGAGUGGCGGACGGGUGAGUAAUGCUUGGGAAUCUGGCUUAUGGAGGGGGAUAACUACUGGAAACGGUAGCUAAUACCGCGUAAUAUCGGAAGAUUAAAGGGUGGGACCGAAAGGCCACCUGCCAUAAGAUGAGCCCAAGUGGGAUUAGGUAGUUGGUGGGGUAAAGGCCUACCAAGCCGACGAUCUCUAGCUGGUCUGAGAGGAUGACCAGCCACACUGGAACUGAGACACGGUCCAGACUCCUACGGGAGGCAGCAGUGGGGAAUAUUGCACAAUGGGGGGAACCCUGAUGCAGCCAUGCCGCGUGAAUGAAGAAGGCCUUCGGGUUGUAAAGUUCUUUCGGUGAUGAGGAAGGCAGAUAAGUUAAUAGCUUAUUUGAUUGACGUUAGUCACAGAAGAAGCACCGGCUAACUCCGUGCCAGCAGCCGCGGUAAU
rnacentral:rRNA from 1 species